rnacentral:ncRNA from 1 species
CCUGUCUGUGCAGGUCGGGAUGUGACCAGCGGGGUCGAAGACCCCAAAACGGCGUCGCCGCCGGGUUGAACCACGCA